UACGUAGGUGGCGAGCGUUAUCCGGAAUGAUUGGGCGUAAAGGGUGCGUAGGCGGCCUGCUAAGUCUGGAGUGAAAGGUACCGGCUCAACCGGUACAGGCUCUGGAAACUGGCGGGCUAGAGAGCAGGAGAGGGCGGUGGAACUCCAUGUGUAGCGGUAAAAUGCGUAGAUAUAUGGAAGAACACCAGUGGCGAAGGCGGCCGCCCGGCCUGUUGACUGACGCUGAGGCACGAAAGCGUGGGGAGCAAAUAGG
rnacentral:rRNA from 1 species